UUGGGAAACGGGUUGAUUAUUCAGGUCGUUCCGUCAUUGUCGUGGGUCCUUCACUUUCAUUACAUCGAUGUGGAUUGCCGCGCGAAAUAGCAAUAGAGCUUUUCCAGACAUUUGUAAUUCGUGGUCUAAUUAGACAACAUCUUGCUUCAAACAUAGGAGAUGCUAAGAGUAAAAUUCGAGAAAAAGAACCGAUUGUAUGGGAAAUACUUCAGGAAGUUAUGUAAGGGCAUCCUGUAUUGCUGAAUAGAGCACCCACUCUGCAUAGAUUAGGCAUACAUGCAUUCCAGCCCGUUUUAGUGGAGGGGCAUGCUAUUUGUUUACAUCCAUUAGUUUGUAAGGGAUUCAAUGCAGAUUUUGAUGGGGAUCAAAUGGCUGUUCAUGUACCUUUAUCUUUGGAGGCUCAAGCGGAGGCCCGUUUACUUAUGUUUUCUCAUAUGAAUCUUUUGUCUCCAGCUAUUGGGGAUCCCAUUUCCAUACCAACUCAAGAUAUGCUUAUUGGACUCUAUGUAUUAACGAGCGGGAAUCGUCGAGGUAUUUGUGUAAAUAGGUAUAAUCCGUGGAAUCGCAGAAACUAUCAAAAUAAAAAAAGUAACAAUAAUAACUAUAAGAAUACGAAAAAACCCUUUUUUCUAAGCUUAUCGGCAGAAACAAAUUAAUUUAGAUAGUCCUUUGUAGAUCCAGUGGCGACUAGAUCAACGAGUUAUUGCUUCAAGAGAAAGUCCCAUCGAAGUUCACUAUGAAUCUUUAGGUACUUAUUAUGAGAUUUAUGGACACUAUCUAAUAGUAAGAAGUAUAAAAAAAGAAAUUCUUUUUAUAUACAUCCGAACCACUGCUGGUCAUAUUUCUCUUUAUUGAGAAAUCGAAGAAGCCGUACAGGGGUUUUCUCAGGCCUGUUCAUAUGGUACUGAACUAAGUUAAGGAAUUCUAUAAUACAAGUAGGCAUUCAGGUUUCUUCAGUUCAACUAGGCCCAUAGUUCCACAAUUUCUAUGCAAAUCAAGAUCGAGAAAAGGAAGUUUUCCAAUCACUGACUCGCCGAAUCGAAAAAAUUGGGUGCUAUCAUAUAGCUUUGUAUCGGCUAAGUUCAUGAGUUGGAGAUAAGCGGACUCCAACCGCUGACAUCCACCGUAGGGUAAACCACCGCCUCUUAGGCUCCCCGACUGAUUCUACCGUAGAGGCCGAUGAUAGACAAUAACUCCCCCUCAAACACAGCUUACAACUUUCAUCAUACUGUGCUCUCCAAGAAGCAACUCUUCUCAAAAUCUCACUUAAAAGGUGCUGAGUUGGAAUCCCAUUCUAACUAAGGAUUCUUGUGGUUUUAGAGGUUCUAGCUAUAGGAGAACCAGGAAUGGAGAGCUUUUCCCCCCUUCCUCCCGACUCUUUGGUCUUAAGAACACUGGCUAUAAGAAUGAGUGAUUGCCCUUCUCCGACCCUUAUUGGCCAACCUGAGAACAGACAGCUAAUGCGUUCCACUUAUUGAAUAGGGUUCUAUGGUCGGUCCGUGACCCCCGAAUGCCAAAGGCGCCCUUGGGGUGAUCUCUUGACUGGAGGGGACACCAAAGGCCUCUGUCAUUCCAUCCCUUGGAUGGAUAGAGAGGGAGGGCAGAGCUUUUGGUUUUUUCAUGUUGUCAAAGAAUUGAACAAUGAUUUUUCGUGUUGUCAAAGAUUUGAACAAUGAAAAUAGAUGGCAAGUACCUGAACGAAUUGAUCUGGCCAACUGUCCAUCCUACAUCAUCUACGAUCUUGACAGCCCAUCUUUGUCUCAGUGGAGUCUUUCAGUGGUAUGUUUCGAUCCUCUUCCCCAUUACUUAGAAAAAGUGAGCAACCGGUUUAGGUACAAGAUACUAGCAUUACUGCCUGGACAAUUAGACAUCCAACCCAUAAUUACAACGACCCAAUUGCAAGAGUGGAGCUCUACCAACUGAGCUAUAUCCCCCCGAGCCAAGUGGAGCAUGCAUCCUGUAUUUUGUAACGAAAAGAAUAGCAACCAAGUUCUAGGUGACAGUAAUCAGCUUGAUAGAGAGAUAAAUCAAUUAAUGAAAUUGAAGUUCUUUCUUUGGCCUAAUUAUCGAAUAGAAGAUUUAGCUUGUAUGAAUCGCUAUUAGUUUGAAACGUGUUUGCA
rnacentral:lncRNA from 1 species